CCCCUAGAUGUUCUGGGCCGCACGCGCGCUACACUGAACAGUUCAACAAGUCUUAACCUUGGCCGAUAGGUCUGGGUAAUCUUUGAACGCUGUUCGUGUUUGGGAUAGACCUUUGCAAUUAUGGGUCUUCAACGAGGAAUUCCUAGUAAACGCAAGUCAUCAGCUUGCAUUGAUUACGUCCCUGCCCUUUGUACACACCGCCCGUCGCACCUACCGAUUGAAUGGUCCGGUGAAAUCUCGGGACGGCGGCUUGGUCGCUUGCGUCCGACUGCUGAAACUUGAUUAAACCAUAUCAUUUAGAGGAAGGUGAAGUCGUAACA
rnacentral:rRNA from 1 species